AUACGGAGGGUGCAAGCGUUGUCCGGAUUUACUGGGUGUAAAGGGCGCGUAGGCGGACUUGUUAGUCAGAGGUGAAAUCCUGCGGCUUAACCGUAGAACUGCCUUUGAUACUGCAAGUCUUGAGUUCGUAAGAGAGAGAUGGAAUUCCAGGUGUAGUGGUGAAAUACGUAGAUAUCUGGAAGAACACCAGUGGCGAAGGCGGUCUCUUGGUCCGUAACUGACGCUGAGGCGCGAAAGCGUGGGGAGCAAACAGAAUUAGAAACCCUAGUAGUCC
rnacentral:rRNA from 1 species